CUGUACUCCUCAAGCCCCUUGGAGCAGGGCAGAGCCAUAUGCUGGGCUCUGGCCACAGGCUGAGAGAGGAAGUGACUCCAAGGCUGAGAGCUGGGCUGCUGGAAUUUCACACAUAGGUAGUCCUGCCUCUGUCUUCAGCAUGCUCCUGGUCAGCCUUCUCCCAGAAUCACACCUCUGAGCAGGGGCCAAGGUCUGUCUUCAGUUAACAAAUAACCAUUCUUUAUAAUCCAGUGGUUUACUGGGCCUUAAUUAAUUGAUUUGCUAAUCGCUGUUUCCUGUUUCCAGGAAUGAGCCCAGGAAGUUGACCUUUGAAGCACUCUCCUGCUCUUGGGGCCAUGUCAUCAGGAAGAAACUCCAGGCUGAAAACACAACUGCAAGGCCAACAGGCAGGGGAGCAGCUUUCUCAGGACACCUGAGGUCCUGCCCCACCAGGCUCUGGUCUUUACACACCAUCUCUCACUGUCCUCUAGCCCCAACUGCACAUUGCCUUCCUCCUUCCUGAGCUCAUGCUUGCCCCUCCCUCGGCAUCUCCCUAGCCCCAGCCUGAAGGCUGACCUCCUCCAGAAAGCCUCUCCCUCACCACGAGGCCAGAAAGAGUCUGUCCUGUCUCUAGCUUCUGAGUUUCUUAGUCCCAACGACUGUCCCUGCUCCACUGACACCUUCCAUACACAGCUUUGUGAGCUGUGCGCAUCUGUGGGUACCAGAGGGUAAGUUCGAGGGCCAGCUGACGCCUACUGUCUCUACUGUCUCACAGAUCUGCAUUGGGUUUCCUUGGUCCCAAUCCCCCACAGACACACACACAUGUACACACUCACACACACAACGCUGGACCAAUAGAGAGAACUUUAUCAGUAAAAUGUAACUAUUUCAUUACACCAGAAGCUAUCCGUGUUUAAGGCCCUAUCCCCAAAGCAAGUAGAGAAUGACAAUUAUCUUGGUAAGGAACAAGGGCCUUCCCACUUCCAUCCCCUAAAUUACACUAAUUUCUGGCGUUUCCACCUUCUCUGAGCCAGUGCUUCCAUUUGGGAAAUAAAUAUGAAAUGAUUUAUCCA
rnacentral:lncRNA from 1 species